rnacentral:lncRNA from 1 species
GAGAAUCCCGUGAGAAGAGCCACAGGCGCUGCUCCAAUAACAAAGAACGACCAAGGCGGAAAUAAAAAAUCGGAGAAAUCCAGGCGCAGGCCGAGAAAGACAAAACUUUUCUCCCAUUCCCCUCCUUUGUGCGGCCGCAGCACCACUGGAGAGGGUCUGGUGGGGUCUAGGGACCCCUUCUCCAGCUGCCCUCAGUGGAGGGGGACACCCUCCCUUCCAGCUCCCCAGUAAAAUCUCAGGGUUCCCAGUAAAGCCACACUGCUGAAGGUGCUCCCAAGACCAGCAACGAGGAGGCUGGGCCACUGCCUUAUCCCGACACGGAGUGAAUGGGUCCAGAGCAGGGCCGCUCACAACCUGGGGCCCUUCUCCUUCCCUGGCAGUCGUGUGGGGAUGUGGCUUCUCUCCACGCUGGCAGGGGAGAGAGAACGAGCUAGCGCUGGCAUUUCUGACUGUAUGAAGAGCAAUCAGCACCGUCUGGAUUUAGCUAAGGGAUGCACUAGUCGUUUCCAAGACAUGUCGGUUUUUGUGCAGCGCCCACAUUGAGUACAAGUAAUUUUAAAUCAGUACAUACCAUAGCUUGCUCUAUUUUGUUGUCGAUAGCUACCACACUUGCACCAGAGCUGGAAGAGAGAAUAAAAAAAGAGAGAUCAUCGAUAAAUGGAAUUGAUCUUUAACAUCCAGGAUAAGGACAGAUCUCUGAAUUCGAAUGACGUUACUAGCAUCCUAUUUUGAGUAUUCUUAAACGCUCCAAAAUGCAUCAGACUCCAGAAAAUACCAGCCAUACUCUAUCCAGGCAUUUCCCUAUUUUAAGGAGCCACAAAGGACUAAAUUACAUAAUGGAAGAAAGCCUGUUCUCGAGCCAGAUCUACGAAAAUAAGGAUCUUCUGGCCAUUUCAAAAAGCAACAUCUAUGUCACAGUAACCCUAGGCAUGGACAAAGGAAUUCGCAUGGCUAUCCUGUACCUGUAAUACCGCAAGUCAAUUUUACUCCGAGUCAAUUUAAACCAACUAUCCCAGCUGACAUUUACCUAUUGUCAAGUCUCACGGAAGCGUUUUCGGUUCCCAGCAAAGACGACAAGAAAGAAAUGGAAAAAUGUCUCAGUUGGUAAACUCCUAGAUCCAUCGCCACUGGUCUACACCAUUGGGAUUUCAUGCAAUUGCAGCCAAAUUAAAAAAACAGCCCCGUGGAAAAAAAAGAGAGAGGGCGGGAGGGAGCAAGCUCCAGCAGCCUGGUUCAAACUAGAUAAAACCGCCUAGCUGUCUGCAGCUCAGGGCGUGAGAACGGUGGUGCUGGCUCGAGUGACCCGGCGCGUCUGCAGCAGCUCGGUCCUACUCGGCUGCCGGCUCCACUCCUCUAGAGGAGGCCGCCCGGCCCCAGCGCCACAUAUAGGCGGGGAGGCGCCGCGCCGAUUGGCCGCGCCAUAGGCCCGCCCCGCGCUCCCGGGCUGCAGUCCCUCCCGGUGCCCGCGGCGCCGGCGGAGCGGGGAGGGGAGGAGAGGGAGGGGGUUGGGCGCCACCUCCUCCAAGGCUCGCUCGCGUCAGGGUUCCCGAAAGCUCCCGGUGCCCGCACGCUUACGUCUAAGGGAGUAAGACCCCGUCUCCAAAGCAGUCCCUGCGGCGGCGCUCAACCCUGCCCGCAAGCUUGCUCUUUGCAACCAGACCCAGCCGAGCUACUGGGCAUGCCCAGUCCCACCACUAAGACUCAGGAACGCCGGCGUCUCGAUUUCAAUUAUUGGGUUCUUACAAGAAGCACUAACGGGAGGCUACAGAGGCUGUGUUCUGUGCAAGGAUAAUAAUCCUGCUGCAGGAAUUCCUUUUUCAUGCUAAUGAAAUUCAUAGGAAUAUUACAUUUGCCUUUUUGGUGGGAGAUAGCUCCACAUAAAGCUUAUCAGUUAUGU